rnacentral:rRNA from 1 species
UACGUAGGGCGCAAGCGUUAUCCGGAAUUAUUGGGCGUAAAGAGCUCGUAGGCGGUUUGUCGCGUCGGCUGUGAAAUCCCGAGGCUCAACCUCGGGCCUGCAGUCGAUACGGGCAAACUAGAGUGUGGUAGGGGAGACUGGAAUUCCUGGUGUAGCGGUGAAAUGCGCAGAUAUCAGGAGGAACACCGGCGGCGAAGGCGGGUCUCUGGGCCAUAACUGACGCUGAGGAGCGAAAGCGUGGGGAGCGAACAGG